AGAAUCAACGCUGGCGGCGUGCCUAACACAUGCAAGUCGAACGCGAAAGUCCCGAAAGGGGCAAGUAGAGUGGCAAACGGGUGAGUAACGCGUGGGUGACCUGCCUUCGAGCGGGGGAUAACAUCCCGAAAGGGAUGCUAAUACCGCAUAACAUUCCGCUUUUGAAGAGGUGGAAAUCAAAGCUGGGGAUCGCAAGACCCGGCACUUGAAGAGGGGCCCGCGUCUGAUUAGCUAGUUGUGGGGUAACGGCCUACCAAGGCUUCGAUCAGUA
rnacentral:rRNA from 1 species